rnacentral:pre_miRNA from 1 species
AGUGGGAUAGCUGGGUCAAAUGGUGGUUCUAUUUCAAGUUUUCUGGGGAAUUUCCAUACCACUUUCCAUAAUGGUUGCACCAAUUUGCAGUCCCACCAGCAAU